CCAUUAUCGUCUGAAAAUAGAAAAGACAGCUUAGCAUUCAACUAAAGCGAAGUGGUCUUACAUGCAAGAUGUUCGAGUUUGAAGAGGAUUGUUUGCUACCUUUGGAUGCUUUGUUUUUUGAAAAGCCUUCAUCAGAGAAAGUGAAACAUAUUAAUCAAGGAAAGACAAGUUGGAAGAUUGCUCCAGCUCCAUCAAUUUCUGAAAUACCAGC